rnacentral:lncRNA from 1 species
ACCCCUUGGAAGCGCCCCUUUGAAAUUUCAAAUGGGGAGAUAAGUUUUAACUUAUCCACGCCCCUUAAUCUCUUGCACCCUUCCUCAGGUUGGCACCCUCUAUCUUGGCCAUUGGAUGGGCUUCCUUCCAGAUCCAAAGGCAUGGGUUGAUGGUGCCAAUAAGAGAAGCUUUGUGACUUCUCAUGUGAACACCGUAAGUUAAGAUCGAAGAGUCCUUCUGAAAUAAGGCGCCUCUUCAACCCAACUUUGAUGUACACAUGGCAU